CCCUUCCUUUCUGCCUCUGUCCACUUCACUCCUGCUGUCUGCCCUUUCAGUCUGGCACCCCUGGCAGCUCUACCUGAACUGGGAUGACCCACUGGCAAGGUUGUCAAGGCAGAGUUUCUGCAUGUGCCUUUUGUCACAAGGCUGGAUGUGGAAGGCUGAGUAAGGUUGGUGCAGAGGCUGUCGGGGGGUCCAGCUUAACCUAAUCCUGAUUGAUAGAGAGCUAUCGGGAAGGACAACCACUGGGCUUCUGAGAUGACCGGCUGGAAGCCUGAACCCGCCGGAUGGUCAUCUUGCCACCGCAUGGGAAGGAAGGUUGCCUGAAUAAAGCUGACAUAGAAGGAGGCAAGCUUCCUGAGGCCUCAACCAGGAGCAGAUGCCAGCACCAUGCUUCUUGCACAACCUGCAGAACCAGA
rnacentral:lncRNA from 1 species